AUGCUGGGAUCACCCAGAUGCCAAGAUAUCACAUUGUACAGAAGAAAGAGAUGAUCCUGGAAUGUGCUCAGGUUAGGAACAGUGUUCUGAUAUCGACAGGACCCAAGACGGGGGCUGAAGCUUAUCCACUAUUCAGGCAGUGGUCACAGCAGGACCAAAGUUGAUGUCACAGAGGGGUACUGUGUUUCUUGAAACAAGCUUGAGCAUUUCCCCAAUCCUGGCAUCCACCAGCACCAGCCAGACCUAUCUGUACCACUGUGGCAGCACAUC
rnacentral:lncRNA from 1 species